CCCCCGGGUCCACGAUGCAGCCCCCGGGUGAGGCCGCAGUAUUUUCCUUAUAUGAUCGGGCCCCAUGGCUGACAGCGCCGCUGGCCCGGAGCCUGAGAGGAUUAUGAAAACAUGUCAGGCGAAAUGGGGCCAGGGACCCGGGG
ensembl:scaRNA SCARNA17 small Cajal body-specific RNA 17